GUGCCUAUUUCGGGUCACUUUUGCCGGUCCAAGCCCGGGUGAAGGAGCAGGGUUGGAAUUGUGACAUUAAAAAAAAAAACAAUAAUUGCUAAAAGAAAUUUAAUUUGUAGUUCUAAAUAAACUCUAAAUGCAUUUAGGACGUUUUUUACUCACUUUAUGUCUCUUCCAUGAUGUUAUUUCUCUCUCCAACAACGUAGGUUACAAUUACGUUAGCGUGACCAAUUAUGCAAAUUAGGCGAUGACGUCAUUUAGCGACUUCUAGCGACUUUUAGGACAACCAAUAGCGAUUUUCCUUACUGAGGAGUUGGCAACACUGCUGCUAAGGCUUCCGCUCCUCACAGCGCGCGUUUGCACUGUGAGGGUUCGCUCUGUAAUGAAAGGCUCUGGCAUUUUUAUGGUUUCUGGUGUGAAUGUUGUUACAUAAGUUGUACAUGUCGAUGUAUAUAGGUUUAUAUUGAUGUUAGGAUGUUACUGUGUAACCGAAACAAAGGGUGGUUGCUGUUAAACAGUGUUUCUGCCGGCAGUAAGCUUUUGUCGGCCCCCUAGUGGUUGCUGCGCAUAGCAGGAAAUGUGUUUGGACUUACUGUUUUUCUGUGCUUUUUGUGAUAUUGUUUUACAUUGUAGGAGCUACAAUAGCGGGUACCACCAGAAGACACAAGUGUUUUCUAUGUCUUCUGCAGGAAUAAACCGUAAAAAGCCAACCUUUCUGAACGUCUGUGAUUUGUGAAGAACGGAAGCGUUACAAGUACGUAAUGUUCGAACUCUUAUUUUGAAACCAGCGGAAGUACACAGGUACGCCGGCUGUAUGUGCGUGUGCUAGCUUAGCAGUUGACAGUUACAUGGAUGCGCUGAUCCUGAUGUACUGAAUAAAGAAAUCUGUAUGAUUUCUUCAUCAGUAUUGAAGCUACAGCACAGUAGCUGAAACAGCAGGUAUGAGAAUUAGCGCCCACAAAUCUGAGGCCACGAUCCUCAGCCAUGUCCCAGUCAGGAACGAGUUACUGCCCUAAGUGGGGGCGUUUUUAGAUCUCGGGGUCUUGUACUAAAGGGAGGGAAGACGUGAGCAGGAGAUUGACAGAUGGGUAGAUGUCAGUCAUUGUGAAGAUGGAGCUGAAUGUAAAGACAAAGCUGUCAGUUUACUGGUUGGUCUACAUUUGUACCCUCAGCUGUGGCCACAAGCUUUGGAUAGUGACUGAAAAAAUGAGAUUGUGGAUACAAGCCGCUAUUCCACAUUGAAAGGAGCCAGGUCUAGGAUGCUUCCUAGGCGCCUCAUGAGCGAGGUGUUCAGGGCGUGUCCUGCUGGGUCCUGGUCCAGGGUAAGACCAGGACAUGCUAGAGAGAUUAGAUCUCUCGACUGGUCGACUGGAAACGACAGUGUCUGCCCAGAUAAACUGCAGGAGCUGGCUGUGGUGUGGCAGGUCUGUGUUACUCUGCUUAGGUUUCUGCCCCUCAGACCCAGCUCCAGAUAAAUGGAAGAUGGAUGGAUGGAUGUAUGUAUGGAAAAGUAAAAGGUCAAAUGUGGUUUGUAAAGUCUCAUUUUCAAACCUUGAGAUGAAUGUUUGCCCUGUUGUCAUCUUGGUAAAAUACUCAUCCCCAGUCAACACUUUCCUGAUGACUGUUUCCUUCUACAGUGUUCCAGUAGCUGCAUCCAUGCCCUACUGAGCAUUGUAGUCAUGUAUAAGCAGUCCCAUAGGACUCUCCCAUAGAGCUUAAAAUCUGGGACUCUCCAACAAUUGCACUUAGAACUGAAGAAGCUUCUCAGAUGAGAGGUGAAACGUCUUCAAGAAAACUUAAAGAAGUCCAGACGCUCUUCUUUUCAAGCUCCUUAGAUUGUAUACAAGCACCAGUCCAUUUCAUAUUAUAUCUCAACCAGCAUGUCCACACAGAGCCAGUCUUGGAAGCAAGCAAAGCUGUACUUGCAGUAUGCUACUGUGUAAAACACAACCAGCGUAAGUAAGUAGUUCUGCAACUACUAACUAUAAAGAUGUGUUAGCUUAACACGAGCCACACACCGACUGUUAUCUGACCUUUGUGAAAUACGUGCUGCAUUUACUAUGUCGAUCAAGAUGUAAAGCAACGACACAUGUAAGAACAUAGCUGCUGCUGCAGCACCAUCUACUGGUCAUUUUGAACAAAGCAGCUAAUCUUUUAGUAUACAGUCUGCACAACGCUACAUUGUAUUCGUUUUUUGUUGAAAACCUGUGCUGGAUUAUGGAGAUAUUCUACAUAUGAAUGCUUCUGCUCAGUGUCUUUGAACGGUUGAUACUGUGUAUCCUUCUCUGAGGUUCAUCACUAACUGUAAAUCUC
ensembl:lncRNA